UACGUAGGGUGCGAGCGUUGUCCGGAAUUACUGGGCGUAAAGAGCUCGUAGGUGGUUUGUCGCGUUGUCCGUGAAAACUCACAACUCAAUUGUGGGCGUGCGGGCGAUACGGGCAGACUGGAGUACUGCAGGGGAGACUGGAAUUCCUGGUGUAGCGGUGAAAUGCGCAGAUAUCAGGAGGAACACCGGUGGCGAAGGCGGGUCUCUGGGUAGUAACUGACGCUGAGGAACGAAAGCGUGGGUAGCGAACAGG
rnacentral:rRNA from 1 species